rnacentral:rRNA from 1 species
CUGAACUUAAGCAUAUCAAAAGCCGGAGGA